GACGAACGUUGGCGGCGUGCUUAAUACAUGCAAGUCAACUGAAGCAGUGGUAGCAAUAUCGCUGUGGAGGUGGCGCACGGGUGAGUAACACGUAGGUAAUCUGCCUUCAGGUCUGGCAUAACUCCGGGAAACCGGGGCUAAUAGCAGAUGAUGCAGCGGCUCGACAUCGAGACAGUUGUUAAAGCUAUGGCGCCUGAAGAUGAGCCUGCGUCUGAUUAGCUAGUUGACGGGGUAACGGCCCACCAAGGCAACGAUCAGUAGCUGGUCUGAGAGGAUGAUCAGCCACACUGGAACUGAGACACGGUCCAGACUCCUACGGGAGGCAGCAGUAAGGAAUAUUGCUCAAUGGGAGAAAUCCUGAAGCAGCAACGCCGCGUGAGGGACGAAGGGCUUUUGCUUGUAAACCUCUGUAGUGAGAGAAAAAAAUCCCAAUCUUUGGGACAUGAUGGUAUCUCAAAAGUAAGCCCCGGCUAACUACGUG
rnacentral:rRNA from 1 species